AGCGAACGCUGGCGGCAUGCCUAACACAUGCAAGUCGCACGGGGGGGCUUCGGCCUCCCAGUGGCGGACGGGUGAGGAACGCGUAGGGACCUGUCGAGGGGUGGGGGAUAACCGCGGGAAACUGCGGCUAAUACCGCAUGACGCCGCGGCGUGACAGCCGGGGCCAAAGGCGAAAGCCGCCCGCCGAGGGGCCUGCGUCCGAUUAGCUGGUUGGCGGGGUAGCGGCCCACCAAGGCGUCGAUCGGUAGCUGGUCUGAGAGGGUGAUCAGCCACACCGGGACUGAGACACGGCCCGGACUCCUACGGGAGGCAGCAGUGGGGAGUAUUGGACAAUGGGCGCAAGCCUGAUCCAGCAAUGCCGCGUGGGUGAAGAAGGUCUUCGGAUUGUAAAGCCCUUUCGGCGGGGACGAUGGUGACGGUACCCGCAGAAGAAGCCCCGGCUAACUUCGUG
rnacentral:rRNA from 1 species